AAAAUUUUUUACAUACCCUAGUUCUCUCUAGUUUACAAAGUAAAAAAACUAGAGAGAAAGGGAAAUAUUAAUAUAGUUAUAAAUUUCUUUAUAUAAAGUUCUUUAUAUUACUUUUAGAAAACAAUUAUAUAGAAGAUUAAUUUUUUAGUUUUGCUUUUCCAAAAAGAGAUUUUUUAUUAGUUCUGGCGAAGCCUGUGCCAGCCGCCGCGGUUACACAGGGGGGGCAAGGGAGUUAAGUUUAGGAAAAAAAAUUUUUUUUAUUUAUUUGAGAUUAUUAAGGUGGAAUUUAUAAUUGAAUUUUAUUAAUUGGUUUUUAGAAAUUUUAGUAAAAACUAGGAUUAGAUACCCUAUUAUUAAGUAUGUAAGGUUGGUAGUAUUUAGUUGAAUGAAAUCAAAAGAUUAUGGCGGUAUUUUAAGCUUUUUAGAGGAAUUUAUUCUAUAAUUGAUAAGGCACAGAGAUCUUACUUAAUUUAGUUAAACAGUUUGUAUAUCGCUAUCAUUUAAUAAUAUUGGAUAAUAAUUAUUAAAAUAAACGUUUAUUUUAAAUGUUAGGUCAAAAUGCAGCACAAGGUUAAGAUUGAAAUAAGUUACAUUAAUUUAUAUAAGUAAAAAUCUGAAAAAUUAUUAGGAUUUAAUAGUAAAUUGAAAUUAUAAUGUUUGGUUGAACAGAGCUCUGGAAUAUGUACAUAUCGCCCGUCACUCUCAGGAUGAGAUAAGUCGUAACAAAGUAAAGGUACCGGAAGGUGUCUUU
rnacentral:ncRNA from 1 species